rnacentral:misc_RNA from 1 species
UACGUAGGGGGCAAGCGUUGUCUGGAACUAUUGGGCGUAAAGCGCGCGCAGGCGGUUCUGUAAGUCUGCUGUAAAAGCCCACGGCUCAACCGUGGAGGGUCAUUGGAGACUGGGGAACUUGAGGACAGAAGAGGAGAGUGGAAUUCCACGUGUAGCGGUGAAAUGCGUAGAUAUGUGGAGGAACACCAGUGGCGAAGGCGACUCUCCGGUCUGUUUCUGACGCUGAGGUGCGAAAGCGUGGGUAGCAAACAGG